GCUAUGCCUUUUUUCUUACCUAAUCUUAUCCACGGUAAACAGAAAGCUGAUGGGGUUAAUUUUCUUCACUUGUGUGGCCACACAAGUAGAAAUAUGUGCUUCUCCAUGCCAAACUACUGAAACAUUGAGUCACAGCCUAGGGAUGGUGAUGACUUCGAUUUUAUUGUUAUAUUCACUUUAAACACGUACUCCUUUUCGGUUGGGUGUAUUAUCAUCUGUAAUUCAUAUUUUCAUAUUCGCAUAAAGCCUUCUUCUGAAUAAUCA